rnacentral:misc_RNA from 1 species
UCUCCGUUGGUGAACCAGCGGAGGGAUCAUUACUGAGUUUACGCUCUAUAACCCUUUGUGAACUUAUACCUUACUGUUGCCUCGGCGCUAGCUGGUCCUUCGGGGCCCCUCACCCCCGGGUGUUGAGACGGCACGCCGGCGGCCAGCCCAACUCUUGUUUUUACACUGAAACUCUGAGCACAAAACAUAAAUGAAUCAAAACUUUCAACAACGGAUCUCUUGGUUCUGGCAUCGAUGAAGAACGCAGC